CUGGUAACCGCGACCUCCCCGCCAGUUCCUGUGUGUUGCUGGCUGGAAAGGGAUAGUUAACAAACUCCCACCCAGCACAGUAUUUAUGUCGGUCAAAAAUGGAAAACUAUGUCCGGGCGCGGCCGAGGUGGGAGGAUCCCUUCAGGCCAAGAGCAGCCUAGCAAUAUGGCGCAACCCCAUCUCUGUAGUCCAACCUCAGUCUCCCAGCUACUUGAACCCCAAGAUUCAAGGCUCCAAUGAGCUAUGAUCUUACCACAGCACUCCUGCCUGCGAGACUGAGAGACCAAAGACCAACCAACCACCACAGCCACCAGUUCCGGAACCUGCCAAUGAUGGGCAACGGAAAGUGAGGGAGUUCAACUCUGGUAAUUUUGCUUUUGUUGUUCUGGCUGGAGUGCAAUGGCGCAAUCUCAGCUCACGGCAACCUCCGCCUCCCAGGUUCAAGCGAUUCUCCUGCCUCAACCUCCAGAGUAGCUGGGACUACAGGUGUGCACCACCAUGUGCAGUAAAGGAAGAAUGGUAUGCCAGAAUCACUAAUGAAGAAAGACGGUGGAUCAGCUUUUCUGCAAAAAAAUUUGAAGUCCCUCGUGGUAUGGAAUCCCAAGGCUGGAAAACAUCAUUCAAGUGGGCAAUCGAAUUAAAUUUCUUAUUAAAAGUAACUCUAGUUGGACUCCAUUGUGUCCAAGUCAACUUUUGUCCUCAUCCACAACUCCUCCACACAAGCCCUGAACACCUGU